UACGUAGGAGGCGAGCGUUGUCCGGAGUUACUGGGCGUAAAGGGUGCGUAGGCGGCUGCGCGCGUGGAGGGUGAAAUCUCUCGGCUUACCCGGGAGGGGGCUUUCCAGACGGCGUGGCUUGAGGGACGGAGAGGGGCGUGGAAUUCCGGGUGUAGCGGUGAAAUGCGUAGAUAUCGGGAGGAACACCUGUGGCGAAAGCGGCGCACUGGACCACAACUGACGCUGAGGCGCGAAAGCUAGGGGAGCAAACAGG
rnacentral:rRNA from 1 species